UACGUAGGGUGCGAGCGUUGUCCGGAAUUACUGGGCGUAAAGGCUCGUAGGCGGCCAACUAAGUCGGACGUGAAUCCCUCGGCUUAACCGGGGAACUGCGUCCGAUACUGGAUGGCUUGAGUUUGGGAGAGGAUGCGGAAUUCCAGGUGUAGCGGUGAAAUGCGUAGAUAUCUGGAGGAACACCGGUGGCGAAGCGGCAUCCUGGACCAACACUGACGCUGAGGAGCGAAGCCAGGGAGCAAACGGG
rnacentral:rRNA from 1 species